UGGGGAAUAUUGCACAAUGGGCGCAAGCCUGAUGCAGCCAUGCCGCGUGUAUGAAGAAGGCCUUCGGGUUGUAAAGUACUUUCAGCGGGGAGGAAGGGAGUAAAGUUAAUACCUUUGCUCAUUGACGUUACCCGCAGAAGAAGCACCGGCUAACUCCGUGCCAGCAGCCGCGGUAAUACGGAGGGUGCAAGCGUUAAUCGGAAUUACUGGGCGUAAAGCGCACGCAGGCGGUUUGUUAAGUCAGAUGUGAAAUCACCGGGCUCAACCUGGGAACUGCAUCUGAUAAUGGCAGGCUAGAGUCUUGUAGAGGGGGGUAGAAUUCCAGGUGUAGCGGUGAAAUGCGGAGAGAUCUGGAGGAAUACCGGUGGCGAAGGCGGCCCCCUGGACAAAGACUGACGCUCAGGUGCGAAAGCGUGGGGAGCAAACAGG
rnacentral:rRNA from 1 species